rnacentral:rRNA from 1 species
AGUGAACGCUGGCGGCAGGCCUAACACAUGCAAGUCGAGCGGCAAGGGCCCUUUCGGGGGUACACGAGCGGCGAACGGGUGAGUAACACGUGGGUGACCUGCCCUCAGCUCUGGGAUAAAGCCUGGGAAACCGGGUCUAAUACCGGAUAUGACUCCAUGACGCAUGUUGUGGGGUGGAAAGCCUUGUGCGGCUGAGGAUGGGCCCGCGGCCUAUCAGCUUGUUGGUGGGGUGAUGGCCUACCAAGGCGACGACGGGUAGCCGGCCUGAGAGGGCGACCGGCCACACUGGGACUGAGACACGGCCCAGACUCCUACGGGAGGCAGCAGUGGGGAAUCUUGCGCAAUGGGCGAAAGCCUGACGCAGCGACGCCGCGUGAGGGAUGACGGCCUCGG